rnacentral:misc_RNA from 1 species
CUGCUGCUGCUUCUUCUUCUUCUAAUGUCUUCAGCGUCAUGGAUAAGCUUUCUUCUAGAGAUGUCAGAGAUCCUGCUCUUGAUCCAAUCAAUCUCUUUUGCAAUUUUAAUUCGAGUUAGAAUUUCAUGAUGAAGAUUAAAAAAUCUUUCAAAAAUGCCCCUUCUUUCAGGUUCUAUGUUGUUCUCAUAUGCCUCAAUGAUUGCCUUUGCUUGCUGAGCUACAUCUUGUAUCUCUUUCACAAAAGCUUCCAAUCUUUGAUCUCGCUUUUCCUUCUCUGCAAACUUCUCGAGUAAUGCACAAAGUCUUCUGAAUUCUUCUCUGAUUGAUUCAACCCCCUCCUUCAGUUCUUCAAUUGACUUAUGUGUGAGCAGAUGAAUCAGAACCUCCAGGAUACAUGAAUUAUCAUUUUUUUUGGUUGCCCCAUGAUUUGAGGAACUGGG